GACGAACGCUGGCGGCGUGCCUAAUACAUGCAAGUAGAACGCACAGUUUAUACCGUAGCUUGCUACACCAUAGACUGUGAGUUGCGAACGGGUGAGUAACGCGUAGGUAACCUGCCUGGUAGCGGGGGAUAACUAUUGGAAACGAUAGCUAAUACCGCAUAAUAUUAAUUAUUGCAUGGUAAUUAAUUGAAAGGUGCAAUUGCACCACUACCAGAUGGACCUGCGUUGUAUUAGCUAGUAGGUGAGGUAACGGCUCACCUAGGCGACGAUACAUAGCCGACCUGAGAGGGUGAUCGGCCACACUGGGACUGAGACACGGCCCAGACUCCUACGGGAGGCAGCAGUAGGGAAUCUUCGGCAAUGGACGAAAGUCUGACCGAGCAACGCCGCGUGAGUGAAGAAGGUUUUCGGAUCGUAAAGCUCUGUUGUAAGAGAAGAACGGGUGUGAGAGUGGAAAGUUCACACUGUGACGGUAUCUUACCAGAAAGGGACGGCUAACUACAUG
rnacentral:rRNA from 1 species